UACGGGGGGGGGCAAGCGUUGUUCGGAAUUACUGGGCGUAAAGGGUUCGUAGGUGGCCUACUAAGUCAGACGUGAAAUCCCUCAGCUUAACUGGGGAACUGCGUCUGAUACUGGGGGGCUUGAGUGCAGGAGAGGAACGCGGAAUUCCAGGUGUAGCGGUGAAAUGCGUAGAUAUCUGGAGGAACACCGGUGGCGAAGGCGGCAUCCUGGACCGGUAUUGACGCUGAGGAGCGAAAGCCAGGGGAGCAAACGGG
rnacentral:rRNA from 1 species